rnacentral:tRNA from 1 species
UGCCCUUUGGUGUAAUGGUAACACAGGAGAUUCUGAAUCUCUCGUUCAAGGUUCGAGUCCUUGGAGGGCAACCA